GCGUGGGUUUAUUCUGCCCUCCAGAGGCGGUUAGCGGAAUUGCAUUUAAUUUCCACGUGACCUAAACAGCUUGACCAGUCAUUUACUUGUCGUAGUUUCCCAUUGGACAACAUAAACAUCGUCUCAUUUGCAUGCAUUACAUUUGUUUGGGUCAUUCAUUGGUCUUGGUGAUUUGAUUUUUACAUAUCAGAAAGAUGUCAUGUUUAACCUUCAGGAACUUGUAUUGGUAGAUUUGAAGCACACCAAAUAGCUUCAGGUCCCUUCCAAAUUGGCCAUCGUUCCGUUUCACGUGGCAAUCUCGGCAUCCGCAGCUCGGCCCAGCUCGGCGUUGACAACACGUGUGAGGGUUUCCAAUCCUCAAUAUUGAACAGGAUCAUCACUCGGGAUAAUCUUUCAGAGGCCAUCUUUGUCUUUGAACGAAAGAGCAGGUGGCAACAGGGGCAAGUGGACCAGUACGCAAAGUGUUUGAUAUGAGAGAGAAGACGGCUACUCGGUCAACUACUCUACAGAAGAAAACUACUUGCACGUCCUUCCAACCCAGUGUUCGUAAUACGAGGUAGCAAUGGAGUUUUCUGAAUGAGAAUCUGGAGCUCCAUAGCAAGCACCCUUCAGAGCCACAAAAGGAAAAGCGGGUGAUAAGUUGCACACAUCAGACAAUUUGUGUUAAAGGACAAUAGACAAGAGACUGUAUAUUUUAUUUACAGUGGACGUCAACCACAAGCUGUUCAGUAAUGCUGCCGUUGUUCUCGGGCUACAUUAACAAUAUGUUCCCGGCAGCCCAGUUUCAGGCCGCCAUUGACAAAACAUGAUGGUCGUGAGGCAACACGGCAGGAUGCAAUGGGAAAACGUGGCAGUCCGUGAUUGCUGUGGAUGCCUGGCGAGGAAAAAAACUCAAAAAUAAUUCAACGGCUGUCACAGUGCGGAUGAGUAACGCCAUAUGUAAUAUGGCGUAACGCAACUUUAAGCAGUCCAUAGUGGCAUGAGAAGUGUAUUUAUUUCCUGCAACUCUUCUAAAGGUAAGCCAUGUGUUUAAUUUACAUACAGUGUCCGCCUUGGCCUACCUGUUUAUCAGCAAUGUGCCGAGAAAGGCCUUCAGGCACACUUCGCUGCUGGCCUAAACACAAUCAAAAGCCCUGA